rnacentral:lncRNA from 1 species
CUCUAGUAUCGAGUUGUAGCAUCCAUUUUACUAAAUCCUUUGUAGCAUCCAUUUCAUUAGAGAAAUGAGCCCAUGAAACCUCCAGGACCUCAAACAUAAUGAACAUUUAUACAUACAAUGUAGUAAGAAAACUCAAAAAAAGCAAUAUUGCAUAUUAACCGGUCAGAAGAAAGACAAGUGUUUAUCAAGGAUAGGGCCAUGACCUGCCUCAUCAACCCCCAUGGUCAUGAGGCAGGGCUCCUUGGUAGCCCACUCUAGCACCAGCGUCACCAUUUCCACUAUGUUCGGAAGAGGACAGAGAUGGGAAGCAGAUUGGAGGUCGAUGCUAGCAGAUUAGAGAUUAGAGGGACAGUAGAUUGGAGAUUGUUGUCGUCAUUUCCACCUUUCGAUGCAAGGUUGGUUGUUGCGGAUGGGAAAGGAGCGUGCAGCAAGGCACGACGGCGGGUGACGCGGUGGGGGCAAUUACUGAGAGAAUAAUCGAAAGAGCCCCUUACCAUCAAGGUAUGUGCGACCAACCUUCCAGAGGGCAUCUUGAUUAGGGCCAAGCAGCAAGAUGCCGAUCGACGAGGAGGAUGGAUGGGGCGGCGACAAGGAAGAGGGAUGGGGAGGAAGCUGAGGAUCGAU